rnacentral:rRNA from 1 species
AUGGAGAGAUCCCGCCGCCUGCUGCUGGUGGCGGGCCUGCUGGCGGCGCUGCUGCCGGCGGCGGCGGCCGCCUUCGGGCCGCAGCCGGGGGCGCCGUGCGAGCCCACGCUGCUGGCGACGCAGGUGGCGCUCUUCUGCGCGCCCGACAUGCCCACGGCCCAGUGCUGCGAGCCCGUCGUCGCCGCCGUCGACCUCGGCGGCGGGGUCCCCUGCCUCUGCCGCGUCGCCGCGGAGCCGCAGCUCGUCAUGGCGGGCCUCAACGCCACCCACCUCCUCACGCUCUA